rnacentral:tRNA from 1 species
GCCCGGGUGGUGAAAUUGGUAGACACGAAGGACUUAAAAUCCUUUGGCUGGAUAAGCCUUGCCGGUUCGACUCCGGCCCCGGGCA